rnacentral:tRNA from 1 species
GCGCCUGUAGCUCAGUUGGCAGAGCGGUGGACUUUUAAUCCUCUGGUCGCUGGUUCGAGUCCAGCCAGGCGCA